UAUAGGAGAUGAUGAAGGUAAAGGGAUGUGUAACACGCCUAAACCAAAGGUUGGCAAUACGCAUGGGGUAGAGAAGAACCAAGAACAACUGAAAGUGAUGCAGCUAGAUGGUAGCCAUAUUCAAGCAC